UACGUAGGCAGCGAGCGUUGUUCGGAGUUACUGGGCGUAAAGCGUGCGUAGGCGGUUUUGUAAGUUUGGGGUGAAAUCUCCCGGCUCAACUGGGAGGGUGCGCCGAAAACUGCAAGGCUGGAGUAUGGGAGAGGUAGGCGGAAUUCCUGGUGUAGCGGUGAAAUGCGUAGAUAUCAGGAGGAACACCUGUGGUGUAGACGGCUUACUGGACCAUGACUGACGCUGAGGCACGAAAGCGUGGGGAGCAAACAGG
rnacentral:rRNA from 1 species